ensembl:lncRNA
AGGUGACAUGUGUGUCCCAUGUUCGGGUGACAUGUGUGUCCCUUGGCAAUGUGACAUGUGUGUGCCAUGUUCGGGUGACACGUGUGUCCCAUGUUCAGGUGACGUGUGUGUCCCACAGCAGCGUGACACGUGUGUGCCAUGUUCAGGUCACAUGUUUAUCCCAAGACAACAUGAUACGUGUGUCCCAUGUUCAGGUCACAUGUGUGUCCCAUGGCAACGUGACACGUGUCCCAUGUUCAUGUGACGUGUGUCCCAUGUUCAGGUCACAUGUUUGUCCCAUGUUCAGGCGACAUGUGUGUCCCAUGUUUGGGUGAUAUGUGUGUCCCACGGCAUCGUGACACGUGUGUGCCAUGUUCAGGUGACACGUGUGUCCCAUGAUUGGGUGAUAUGUGUGUCCCAUGACAACAUGAGACAUGUGUGCCAUGUUCAGGUGACACGUGUGUCCCAUGUUUGGGUGACAUGUGUGUCCCAUGACAACUUGAUAUGUGUGUCCCGUGUUCAAGUUACAUGUGUGUCCUAAGGCAACGUGACACGUGUGUCCCAUGUUCGGGUGAUAUGUGUGUCCAACGGCAACAUGACACGUGCGAUGACAUGCAAUGACACGUGAUGGCACACAGUGACACGGAGAACAUGACAUGUGAUGACACGCGAUGACACAUGAAGACACAUGAUGACACACAGUGACAUGGAAGACAUGAUGACACAUGCUGACAGGCAAUUACACGCAAUAACACACAGUAACACGCAAUAACACGCAGUUACAUACAAUAACUCAUUGUAACAGAUAAUAACACUCAAUAACACACAAUAACACGCAGUAACACACAGUAACACGCAGCAACACGAAAUAACACACAGAAACACGCAAUAACACACAGUAACAUGCAAAAACAUGCAGUAUCACACAGUAACAUACAGUAACACACAGUAACACACAAUAACAUGCAAUAACAUACAGUAACACACAGUAACCCGUGCUAACUCGCAAUAACACGCAGUAACAUGAAAUAACACACAGUAACACGCAAUAACACACAAUAACACAAUAACACACAGUAACACGC